rnacentral:rRNA from 1 species
GACAGAGGGUGCAAACGUUGCUCGGAAUCACUGGGCGUAAAGGGCGCGUAGGCGGGAAUGUAAGUCGGGCGUGAAAUCCCCGGGCUCAACCUGGGAACUGCCUCCAAAACUACUGAGCUAGAGUACGGUAGAGGGUAGUGGAAUUUCCUGUGUAGCGGUGAAAUGCGUAGAUAUAGGAAGGAACACCAGUGGCGAAGGCGACUACCUGGACUGAUACUGACACUGAGGUGCGAAAGCGUGGGGAGCAAACAGG